AGUUUAACUUACACGUGCACGGUAGACCAUUCUCACGUGCACGCAUGUUGGAUCAUGCAUGACUUAGUAGUUCGAAAUGUGUUGUUAUGCUGACAGAUCGUGGGAAUUGCGCUUUCUCUGCGAGCAGUUACCACACUCAAAAUCGACUUUCUCGAGAAACAUUUGACUCCAGAAAAGCUUUUCGUGAUGCAACUAUUAUACAAGACGACAGAGGAUGUGUGAAGAAUAUUGGAAGGUGGAUCGGGGAAUGACAUGUCAAAGUACUCUCUAGCAAAAUCUAGCAACUGCUGUGACGUUUCUUACCAGAUUUAUGACGUUUGUUUACCAGUUUACAAUGCUGUAUACGCAUAACUCAAUCUUAACCAGUUAUAGUCAUUACCAGUUGGAUAUAACAGUGUACGCUCUAGAUGUUGAAGAAAGACUCAAAGUAACAUGAUAAUGUUUUGUGCUUGUA